rnacentral:rRNA from 1 species
UACGUAGGGUGCGAGCGUUAAUCGGAAUUACUGGGCGUAAAGCGUGCGCAGGCGGUUUUGUAAGCCAGGUGUGAAAUCCCCGGGCUCAACCUGGGAAUGGCAUUUGGGACUGCAAGGCUGGAGUGCGGCAGAGGAGACUGGAAUUCCUGGUGUAGCAGUGAAAUGCGCAGAUAUCAGGAGGAACACCGGUGGCGAAGGCGGGUCUCUGGGCCGAUACUGACACUGAGGAGCGAAAGCGUGGGGAGCGAACAGG